GUACACUCCUACGGGAGGCAGCAGUGGGGAAUAUUGCACAAUGGGCGCAAGCCUGAUGCAGCGACGCCGCGUGGGGGAUGAAGGCCUUCGGGUUGUAAACUCCUUUCGCUAGGGACGAAGCUUUUUUGUGACGGUACCUAGAUAAGAAGCACCGGCUAACUACGUGCCAGCAGCCGCGGUAAUACGUAGGGUGCGAGCGUUGUCCGGAAUUACUGGGCGUAAAGGGCUCGUAGGUGGUUUGUCGCGUCGUCUGUGAAAUUCUGGGGCUUAACUCCGGGCGUGCAGGCGAUACGGGCAUAACUUGAGUGCUGUAGGGGUAACUGGAAUUCCUGGUGUAGCGGUGAAAUGCGCAGAUAUCAGGAGGAACACCGAUGGCGAAGGCAGGUUACUGGGCAGUUACUGACGCUGAGGAGCGAAAGCAUGGGUAGCGAACAGGAUUAGAAACCCUUGUAGUCCC
rnacentral:rRNA from 1 species